GCUGGUGUGGCUCAGUCGGUAGAGCAGCUGAUUCGUAAUCAGCAGGCCGCGAGUUCAAAUCUCGCCACCAGCUCCA
rnacentral:tRNA from 1 species